rnacentral:rRNA from 1 species
UUUAUUGGAGAGUUUGAUCCUGGCUCAGGAUGAACGCUGGCGGCGUGCCUAAUACAUGCAAGUCGAGCGAAUGGAUUGAGAGCUUGCUCUCAAGAAGUUAGCGGCGGACGGGUGAGUAACACGUGGGUAACCUGCCCAUAAGACUGGGAUAACUCCGGGAAACCGGGGCUAAUACCGGAUAAUAUUUUGAACUGCAUGGUUCGAAAUUGAAAGGCGGCUUCGGCUGUCACUUAUGGAUGGACCCGCGUCGCAUUAGCUAGUUGGUGAGGUAACGGCUCACCAAGGCAACGAUGCGUAGCCGACCUGAGAGGGUGAUCGGCCACACUGGGACUGAGACACGGCCCAGACUCCUACGGGAGGCAGCAGUAGGGAAUCUUCCGCAAUGGACGAAAGUCUGACGGAGCAACGCCGCGUGAGUGAUGAAGGCUUUCGGGU